rnacentral:rRNA from 1 species
AUUGAACGCUGGCGGCAUGCCUUACACAUGCAAGUCGAACGGUAACGGGCCUUCGGGUGCCGACGAGUGGCGAACGGGUGAGUAAUACAUCGGAACGUGCCCGAUCGUGGGGGAUAACGAGGCGAAAGCUUUGCUAAUACCGCAUACGAUCUACGGAUGAAAGCAGGGGACCGCAAGGCCUUGCGCGGACGGAGCGGCCGAUGGCAGAUUAGGUAGUUGGUGGGAUAAAAGCUUACCAAGCCGACGAUCUGUAGCUGGUCUGAGAGGAUGAUCAGCCACACUGGGACUGAGACACGGCCCAGACUCCUACGGGAGGCAGCAGUGGGGAAUUUUGGACAAUGGGCGCAAGCCUGAUCCAGCCAUGCCGCGUGGAGGAUGAAGGCCUUCGGGUUGUAAACUGCUUUUGUACGGAACGAAAAGCCUUCUUUUAAUACAGGAGGGUCAUGACGGUACCGUAAGAAUAAGCACCGGCUAACUACGUG